rnacentral:misc_RNA from 1 species
UUACUUGCUGCCAAGGAUUACAAAUAAAAGAAUCAUCCCUUAAGGCUAUAGCAGCUAAAUCAUGAGCAGCAGUGUUACCCUCUCUACGAACAAAAGAAAAGGAAACCUUUGUAAAUUGGAUGGACAGGAAAAGAACAUCCUUGACAGUAUCCUGGAUCUCCAUGGGCAGAAAGGCUAUGCAUUUGUUCAGAGUAUUGAUUAGAACUUGUUAGUCACCCUCUAAAAUGAUUUUAUCAAGACUUUUGACAGUAGCUAAAAGGAUUGCUUCCCUACACGACAGCCCCUCCAAUGAUAAAGCAUCUGUGAUGGCCAGGUAUCUCUUGCAGGACCAUCCACAUGGUCGGCCACUAUUAUCCCUUGCUAGAGUUGCAACACAACCAAUCUCCCGAUG